CUCUGUGUUCUACUGAUCUGAAGGUGUUCUCUCUCUCUCUGUGUUCUACUGAUCUGAAGGUGUUAUCUCUGUGUUCUACUGAUCUGAAGGUGUUCUCUCUCUCUCUGUGUUCUACUGAUCUGAAGGUGUGUUCUCUCUCUCUCUCUGUGUUCUACUGAUCUGAAUGUGUUCUCUCUCUGUGUUCUACUGAUCUGAAGGUGUUCUCUCUCUGUGUUCUACUGAUCUGAAUGUGUUCUCUCUCUCCCUCUCUGUGUUCUAAUAUUCUGAAUGUGUUCUCUCUCUGUGUUCUACUGAUCUGAAGGUGUUCUCUCUCUGUGUUCUACUGAUCUGAAUGUGUUCUCUCUCUCUCUCUCUCUCUCUCUCUGUGUUCUACUGAUCUGAAGGUGUUCUCUCUCUCUCUCUGUGUUCUACUGAUCUGAAGGUGUUCUCUCUCUCUCUCUCUCUCUGUGUUCUACU
ensembl:lncRNA